ACUCGAGACACGUUCUCCAACCGGAUCGAGCGAUGCCCGGGGAAUCAAAGCAUUUGUAGGAGAUCUUACGGUCAACGAAUAUUGAUUGUGGCAUUAGUUUAGAUCAAUGAUGUCGAAGCUUUCUACACAUGAGGUGAGGUGAUACCCAAAAACCCAGAAGAUGCGCUCGAUUCUUUUCUUUAUCUUUCUUCUUUUUUAUAUUGAAAGGCCACCGCAUGAAUCAGAAGCGAGAGAGAGAGAGAGAGAGAGAGAGAGAGAGAGGGAGCGGAAGGCCAGGCAAGAGGGUGGGGACCUGAGUCAGGGUCACAGCCUUGGUGAGCAACGUCUCACCUACUCGUUAGUAAACCACCAUUAAAAUAGUUGCAGAAAAAGUGUGUAUGAAUUGGCAUGAUAGUAUUGGAAGAAAACGAGAGCAGUUCUCAUGCUCCUCUGCUUCGUUGCCAGCGAAGUUUGUACCUCUAGUUGGCCCUCUCUUUCCUGCUUGUUCCUACCCUGCCGCUUUUUCCUCUCAUUCCUCUUCCUCCUCUUCUUCUCCAAGAACUGAACCACCGAGGGAUGCCUACCCGAGGAUAUGUUCUGAUCUUUGUCUUCUGGGCUCUGCUCACCAUCAUUACCCCGACUCUCGUCUCCUGGUCGGCGUCAGCAAAGCCAAAUCUUGUUGCUCCCGGAGAGACUUUGCUGGAGAUGAAGGUCAAUAGGAGAAUGAUGGGUUCCGUAGAGACCGCUGCCCAACUAAAGAACGGCACCAGGAAGACGAUACCACGAGCAACGGCGCCAUCGCCGGCUGCAGCUCCGGCACCAGCUCCUGCGGCAGGACAUGACGUGCUCAGCUAACGCUAACACUUCCCUGACGGCGGCGUCGAUUGACCUUUGAUUUUUCAGGUGAUAGGUAUUUAUAUAUAUACGAGCGAUUGGGGGGUAUCAUAAUAGUGUGGCAGAUCUUGUGAGUUCUGAUCACAAGAAAGAGUGGGUAGAUCACUCCUAAACCAUUUGCUAGAGAGGAUCUUCCCUUCCCCAGCAUUCGUGGUAAGAAUUUCUUGUAAAGAUCCACAUUACAUGAUUGUUGCCAGCGUUUGUUUGAUUCAACUUUCAUCUGUCGCAAGGCC